ensembl:lncRNA
UUCUAAAGUUUAUUUUUUUUUAUUUGUCUUCCUUUUCUGGCAGAUUUUCUUCCCCUUAUGUGUUACUGUUUAUUCAAGAAGAUGGUGUUAUUUUGGUAAGUACAUGCAAAUUCCUUACAUAUUUAUCACAACAGUAUUUGUCACAGUAUUGCAGGGACAAGUUUAUCUAUCUCAUCUUAAGGGUUCUUGUGAUUAUUAAUAUUGAUAUUAAUUAAUAUCAAUUAAUAUAUAUGAUUAAAUUUCUUUUAUCCAGGACAAAAGAAAAAAAAAACUUGCGAAAGUGAAAUGAAAAACAGGAAUUUAGUUCUUGUGAGUUAAGAGGAUGCAGAGCAUAGGGUUAGAUGGAGGUGGAUCAUUCACUGUGGUGAUCCCUGAAGGAAACAGCCAAGAGAAAAAGGAUCAGAUUGCAAAAAAAAAUGUGGUUUGUUUGCAUACAUGAGUCUUUACGGUACCCACAGGACUCCUGAAGUAUAAGUACUCUGAAGUUUGCAGAGCAAUUUCAGAGAUGUUUGGGGCUUACAUGGCAAGCAUGUUUUUAGUUGCACAUCUAAAUUUUCUCUGCUCUCUGUUGCUGAUGGCAGAGUUCUGCCCCGCUGACCUCACAGGUGAGACACUCCCACCAGUGGACAAAGAGCACAGGAAAAUGUGUUGCCAACCACCUGAAACAGACAAAUAUCUGCUUUUUAAAACCCUUUAAACCCGUUAAAUGGACUGAUGCCAUUCAUUUCUUCUUUGAUUAACAGUAGUAACAUCCUUCAUGCACUGUAUACUAACCCAUAUGAUAAUCAUGCUUUAUGAAGUGAUGGCAAUUGCAUUGUAGCAUUUAAUGAAGAAAUAACAAAAUAAUCAUACCAAUGAUUAAGCACCAGUCUUCUUUUUUCUGUGUCUGUGUGUGUGUGUGUGUGUGUGUGUGUGUGUGUGUGUGUGUGUGUGUGUGUGUGUGUGUGUGUGUGUGUGUGUGUGUGAGAUACAGGUAAAUGCUGAAUUCCAGUGUAUUACAACACUUCAACUGGAGAUGACCUUCGCGGCACAGUUAGACAGAAUUACACCUCAGUUGAUGACAGUUUUCCAGAAGAAGGGCGGUGUUUCUGGGCAGAAACUUGCCCACCACUUGCAGAUCAUGCAAGAGGCUGAAAGUGAUGUUAAAGUGAAAAGGGAAGCAGUUCUCAGGGCACUUUGCCUCUACCUUGGUGAAGAGGACGGAAGCCUUAUUCGGGAGUUCUUUGACAUUGAAGGAGAUGAUAUCUAGAGAGACCUGAAGAAGCACACCAUGGGCAUUUAUGUCAUCAACAGGGAGGAUGGACAAAAUGGACAUUAUGAUGACAUUGGAAUAUUUGUUGAAGGGGAGAUAGUCAUGGACAACAUUGGAUCUCUGGCCCAAGCUUGUGCAUUGAUGCUUGGAGUAAUCUAUGCACUAAACCUAGCCUUCCCCAAGGAAUUGAAGGACUAUUAUGAAUUCAUUUAGCAAGUGUUGAUGGGAUUCGAUGGUGAAAAGCUCUCCCCCAAAGUCUUUGGGCUGAAGAGCAAAAUUGCUACUGGAUAGGAAGAUUUCUAAAAUAACACAUCAAGAGAAUGCUGUUAUGUAAAUUACCAAUGACUGGUGCUCUUGUGAAUAGGAGUGAAACUCUUGUACAACCAUCAUUUGUUCUGUGUUAUGUUUCGAUUGAACAUUUUAACUUUCAAUAAUGAAUGUUUCACGUGUGGUACAUUUGAGUAGCUUGAAGAGCAACUUUGUAAUUAUUCAGUUAUAGCUGCUGCCCUGCGUAUAAUCAGUGUUAACUCAACCGGAUAAAAAAAACAAAAAAAACCAUUCAUGAUUACCACACUGCAGCACACUGGUAACACUUUAAAGACUAUUAAUUGUUUUGAAGCGAGUAUGUUAGGUCAGAAAAUAUGUAAAACAUUCAGAAUCUUCAAGGAAGGACUAGAAUGGAAAGACAGUGGUCAAUAAGCAGUAAGGAAAACACAAGUUUAAUUUUAAGUCUAAUUACCUUAUUAAAAUGCAAUUUCUAAAUAUGGAUCGCAGAACAGCAAGUCUGAAACUGGUUAGUUUGUGGAUGCAUCAGUUUCUAAUUGUGAUACAUUAUACUGCUGGUAGUGUUUUAUUCUUUUAUGUAAGGAGUUUGUUUGUUUUUUUCUUUUUUAGAGGAAGAGAAACAUUGGUUAACAUUUCUCUUGUCUGUUGUUUCUGUUUUGUUUGAAUACAGCUUUUUAAAGCUACUAGUUCAUAGGCAAAAGUUUUGUAAUUUGUAUUAUACAAAUUGCAGCAAUUUCCCU